rnacentral:rRNA from 1 species
AGUGAACGCUGGCGGUAGGCCUAACACAUGCAAGUCGAACGGCAGCACAGUAAGAGCUUGCUCUUACGGGUGGCGAGUGGCGGAUGGGUGAGGAAUACAUCGGAAUCUACUUUUUCGUGGGGGAUAACGUCGGGAAACUUACGCUAAUACCGCAUACGACCUACGGGUGAAAGCAGGGGAUCUUCGGACCUUGCGCGAUUGACUGAGCCGAUGUCGGAUUAGCUAGUUGGCGGGGUAAAGGCCCACCAAGGCGACGAUCCGUAGCUGGUCUGAGAGGAUGAUCAGCCACACUGGAACUGAGACACGGUCCAGACUCCUACGGGAGGCAGCAGUGGGGAAUAUUGGACAAUGGGCGCAAGCCUGAUCCAGCCAUACCGCGUGGGUGAAGAAGGCCUUCGGGUUGUAAAGCCCUUUUGUUGGGAAAGAAAAGCAGCAGGUUAAUACCCCGCUGUUCUGACGGUACCCAAAGAAUAAGCACCGGCUAACUUCGUG